AUUAUAUACAGAUGAGGAAUAUGAGGGGUUACUGGGUGCUCUCCCAAGAUACAGAAUGUCACAACCGCAUCUCACAGAGGCGGAUUUAUUAUGCCGACUGGAAAGCUCUCUCCCAUCGGCAGAGAGCGUCUGCAGUAGCAGCCCUACGGCAGCACAGCUGCAUUGGCGCAGCUGCACUGCUGUAGUGAUUCUAGCAUAGACUAGCUCUUAAUGUCACACAGCAAGUCACCAGCAGAGGAAAAACAGAACUCUAUAGUCUCAGUCUGGUGCUCUUUUCACUGGACUAUGCUGCCUCGCAAUGGAGAGGAGGGGCAGUGUGGAGAAGAGAAGGCUGUGAAAUACCAGCAUCCUGCCCCAGACUACACCGUCAUCAGUAGCCCUUCUCCUGCUGACUAACUGAGCUGAGAUAGGGGGUUGGGUGUGGAGUGGAAUAAGGGAAUGGCUGCUCCAUAAAACAUGUUUUCCUCUUAGAAUGACAUAAUCUGAGCUGGAAUAUCCUUUGGAAGUUAAUGCUGCUCCCUAUGCACGACCUUCCUCCCAACUAGUGUUCAGGGAGCUGGUGGCAGAUGGGAACACCAUGGCAGCACAGCAACUGAGACAGCUCUGAUGCCAGGCCUGGGGAGCAUGGAUGUAAAAGGAAUUUUUCACCAUAUAUUUUUUUCCUUUCUGAUCUCAGAUCUAUGGGAGGUUUGAAGACUGUAUUCCCUUGCACCAGUGCCAUCAGAUCAACCCCUGUCAAUAUAAUGAAGAACAUUUUAAUUGUGAAAGCUGAGAAGAUUUAAAAGAUUGUUCACAGUAAUUCUUUCCUGUAAAAGAGACUUUCAAUGGGAGGUUAGGAUCCUUUUCCAAACAAAAGGUUCUGCUACUGUAAUUUACCUUCAGUGUUUUUUGCUCUUGGAGAAAUAAAUGUGUUACCUAUUUUAGUUUUAUUAUACAUGAAAGGACAAAGACUCAUACUCGAGAGAAAUGUAACAUGGCUGAAUCUUAGUGCGUGGUGGGUGAGAUCAUCCGUACCUGCUAAUGACCUUUUCACUGUUGAAUCAGCAUGAAGGGAUUUUAUACCAUCCUUAGGGCUUGCUGAGGAUAGCCAAAACUUUGUAGAUCAAAGUCCUGCAUUGCUACUAUCCCCCUUCCUCCCACUCCCCCCCCAAUUUAUAAAAUUUCUUCAUUAUCCAGGAUUCUUAAAAAGGUGUUCAGCCCUGUGUUUUGGUUGUCACACUGUAUCAUGUAUAGUAUCAGAAGGGUCUACACUAUGUGGAGUGAAAUGACAAAAUCUUGAGCUAGCAUUAUCCUUUUAUAUGGCCUACAAGGAAAAGGACAAAACAGAUAAAUAUAGUAUCAUUGGGAAUCUUGUCUAGACUCUGCACCCUUCACAAAUGUGACUUGGUUUUCCACUUCCAUAAACCAAUUGUUUGUUUGUUUUGCCUGGGCCAUGAAUAGAUUACUGAUAACAAAAGCACUGUAUGUGUGAGACAAAAAUUCAGGGUAUCUUCAGAGGCUCAAAAUAAUUUUUAUUUAUGAAGGAUUUUACAUUAUUAUGUUUUUCUCAAGUUGUAGCCAUGUUUUCAUAAUGAGCAGUCUGUGGACAAUAUUAUUUUAAAAGCUACAAUUAAAUAAUAGUAGCAAACUAGCAAACACAUCCUUGCAUUUCUAGGAAACAACCUGCUUCAACAAUUUAUAAAUGCAUUAAUUCUGUUCUAAUUCUUAUGUUACUUUCUGCUAAAGAACUUUGCAAUUGUGAAACAAUUAAUAUGAUGCUGUGUGGAAAAAUUGGCCAUGCCUGAAACAACUUAAAAAACAGUUACAAAAACUCCUGGGUGCACAAGCGCAUACGCCACACACAGACGCACACAGACACACACAGCCAGUUGUUAGACAUUUCUCUCUUUAUUUUGCUCAGUUGGCUGAGUGCCACUUCUUCAUAUGAUUGAUGUUUCUUACCAGAUAAAAUUUAGAUCCAACCAUCUAUUAAAUAAUUAUGGAAGUGUGAUCUGUUGUUACAGCUGAAACUGGAUGGUAAAUACAAGCGACUAAUCCAUUUAGGAAAGACAGGUUGUUUCCUGUUGUUCCAAAAGAGGAAUUGUAGAGGAUUUACAAGGGAGAUUGCAGUAGCAUUCUGAUUUUCUGCCACACAUGCUAGUCUGAUGUUUAGAGAAUGAUAUCCCCCGAGAGGUGAGUGAAAAAUGAUGGUGGCAUUGAAUCAGGCAACAGGUCAGUACAGGCCAAUGUUUCCUUAUUAGAAAUAACUCACUUUUCCAAAGCAAAAAAGCAGUUUAAGUAUAAGUAACAUAAUCCAAAUUAAUUUUGACAUUACUUUUAAAAAUGGGUGUUUGGGUGAGGGGGGGGGGAAAUGUCAUUAUAAUGGUGGUUUUUUUUAAAGAGUAGUAAUGAAUGUAAAAGAAAAGUAACCAAGAUGUAGAAUAAUUAGAGUAGCUAUUAUGUAUUCAUUUAAGUUUUCUGCUGUAAAAAAGAUUAAGCUGUUUUGGGGGAGGGGGCCAUGACUAAACUUUAAAAAGUAGAAGCUUUCCAGGUGAUUAGUCCUUAGAAGUUAUUGCCAGCCCAGUUUGGGGAAAAAAUCAAUUGUUUAUUGAUCAGUUAUGUUGUCAGAAGCUGGGAAUGAGCAGCAGCGGAUAGAUUACUUGAUGAUUACCUGUUCUGUUCAUUCCCUCUGGAGCACCUGGUAUUGGCCACUGUCGGUAGACAGGAUACUAGGCUAGAUGGACCAUGACUCAGUAUUGACCGUUCUUAUUCUUGGAAUCAGUUUUUGCAUAUAUACAAUAUGAAAUGUCUACUGAGUCCAGAUCUGCAUGUUAUUUAUGGAACAAUGAUCUAAUGUAAAUACACAGUAUUGAUGCUACCUCGUUA